GACGAACGCUGGCGGCGUGCUUAACACAUGCAAGUCGAACGGAAAGGCCCUGCUUUUGUGGGGUGCUCGAGUGGCGAACGGGUGAGUAACACGUGAGUAACCUGCCCUUGACUUUGGGAUAACUUCAGGAAACUGGGGCUAAUACCGGAUAGGAGCUCCUGCUGCAUGGUGGGGGUUGGAAAGUUUCGGCGGUUGGGGAUGGACUCGCGGCUUAUCAGCUUGUUGGUGGGGUAGUGGCUUACCAAGGCUUUGACGGGUAGCCGGCCUGAGAGGGUGACCGGCCACAUUGGGACUGAGAUACGGCCCAGACGCCUACGGGAGGCAGCAGUGGGGAAUAUUGCACAAGGGGCGGAAGCCGGAUGCAGCAACGCCGCGUGCGAGAUGACGGCCUUCGGGUGGUAAACCGCUUUCGCCUGUGACGAAGCGUGAGUGACGGUAAUGGGGAAAGAAGCACCGGCUAACUACGU
rnacentral:rRNA from 1 species